UACAGAGGGUGCAAGCGUUGUUCGGAAUUAUUGGGCGUAAAGGGCGCGUAGGCGGUGCGGUAAGUCUGUAGUGAAAUCUCUGGGCUCAACUCAGAGUCUGCUGCAGAAACUGCCGUGCUUGAGUGUGGGAGAGGUGAGUGGAAUUCCCGGUGUAGCGGUAAAAUGCGUAGAGAUCCGGAGGAACACCGACGGCGUAGGCAGCGCCCUGGACGACACCUGACGCUGAGGCACGAAAGCUGGGGGAGCGAACAGG
rnacentral:rRNA from 1 species